UACGGAGGGGGCCAGCGUUGUUCGGAAUCAUUGGGCGUAAAGGGCGCGUAGGCGGCCGAUCAAGUCGGAGGUGAAAUCCCUCGGCUCAACUGAGGAAUUGCCUCCGAUACUGUUCGGCUUGAGUCCCGGAGAGGGUAGUGGAAUUCCGAGUGUAGCGGUGAAAUGCGUAGAGACUCGGAGGAACACCAGUGGCGAAGGCGGCUACCUGGACGGGUACUGACGCUGAAGCGCGAAAGCGUGGGGAGCAAACAGG
rnacentral:rRNA from 1 species